UAAGUAAAUAGGCACACUUGCUGAAAAGCAAGGUCGCAAAGCUAUAGGGCCUAAGGUUUUAUACUACGGCAGCCAGUUGCAUCA
rnacentral:ncRNA from 1 species